UGGGGAAUAUUGCACAAUGGGGGGAAACCCGUACGAUGCAGCAACGCCGCGUGAGUGAAGAAGUAUUUCGGUAUGUAAAGCUCUAUCAGCAGGGAAGAAAAUAGACGGUACCUGACUAAGAAGCCCCGGCUAACUACGUGCCAGCAGCCGCGGUAAUACGUAGGGGGCAAGCGUUAUCCGGAUUUACUGGGUGUAAAGGGAGCGCAGGCGGUCUGGCAAGUCUGAUGUGAAAUCCCGGGGCUCAACCCUGGAACUGCAUUGGAAACUGUCAGACUAGAGUGCCGGAGAGGUAAGUGGAAUUCCUAGUGUAGCGGUGAAAUGCGUAGAUAUUAGGAGGAACACCAGUGGCGAAGGCGGCUUAUGGACG
rnacentral:rRNA from 1 species